rnacentral:lncRNA from 1 species
CUUAGGUAGAGCCGCCAGUGAGCAGUCUCCUUCAGCAUUGAUCUUUCGUCAUCGUCGUCAUCUCCAUCAAUUUUUUUCUCUUGAGGUUUCUUUCUCGAUCUCUUUCUCUUUUUCUUGAGUUUUUUCUCUUCUCCUUUUCAUGGCUUCCACUGGCAGAGAAUUUGGAGAUGAGAAUCCAGUCAGUGACUGGAGUUCUCGAGCUCCAACUGCCUAGAGA